UUACCUCAGUAACGGCGAGUGAAGCGGUAACAGCUCAAAUUUGAAAGCUAGCUCUUUUAGGGUUCGCAUUGUAAUUUGUAGAAGAUGCUUCGGGUGUGGCCCCGGUCUAAGUUCCUUGGAACAGGACGUCAUAGAGGGUGAGAAUCCCGUAUGUGACUGGGUGCUUUCGCUCAUGUGAAGCUCUUUCGACGAGUCGAGUUGUUUGGGAAUGCAGCUCAAAAUGGGUGGUAAAUUUCAUCUAAAGCUAAAUAUUGGCCAGAGACCGAUAGCGCACAAGUAGAGUGAUCGAAAGAUGAAAAGCACUUUGGAAAGAGAGUUAAACAGUACGUGAAAUUGUUGAAAGGGAAGCGCUUGCAACCAGACUUGCGCGCUGAUGAUCAUCCGGGCUUCUGCCCGGUGCACUCGUCUGCGCUCAGGCCAGCAUCGGUUUCGGUGGUGGGAUAAAGGCCUUGGGAAUGUAGCUUCUUUCGGGGAGUGUUAUAGCCCUCGGUGCAAUGCCGCCUACCGGGACCGAGGACCGCGCUUCGGCUAGGAUGCUGGCGUAAUGGUUGUAAGCGACCCGUCUUGAAACACGGACCAAGGAGUCUAACAUCUAUGCGAGUGUUUGGGUGUCAAACCCAUACGCGUAAUGAAAGUGAACGGAGGUGAGAACCCUUAAGGGUGCAUCAUCGACCGAUCCUGAUGUCUUCGGAUGGAUUUGAGUAAGAGCAUAGCUGUUGGGACCCGAAAGAUGGUGAACUAUGCGUGAAUAGGGUGAAGCCAGAGGAAACUCUGGUGGAGGCUCGCAGCGGUUCUGACGUGCAAAUCGAUCGUCAAAUUUGCGUAUAGGGGCGAAAGACUAAU
rnacentral:rRNA from 1 species